AGUGAACGCUGGCGGUAGGCCUAACACAUGCAAGUCGAACGGCAGCACAGUAAUAGCUUGCUCUUACGGGUGGCGAGUGGCGGACGGGGGAGGAAUACAUCGGAAUCUACUUUUUCGUGGGGGAUAACGUAGGGAAACUUACGCUAAUAACGCAUACGACCUACGGGUGAAAGCAGGGGAUCUUCGGACCUUGUGCGAUUGAAUGAGCCGAUGUCGGAUUAGCUAGUUGGCGGGGUAAAGGCCCACCAAGGCGACGAUCCGUAGCUGGUCUGAGAGGAUGAUCAGCCACACUGGAACUGAGACACGGUCCAGACUCCUACGGGAGGCAGCGGUGGGGAAUAUUGGACAAUGGGCGCAAGCCUGAUCCAGCCAUACCGCGUGGGUGAAGAAGGCCUUCGGGUUGUAAAGCCCUUUUGUUGGGAAAGAAAAGCAGCAGGUUAAUACCCCGCUGUUCUGACGGUACCCAAAGAAUAAGCACCGGCUAACUUCGUG
rnacentral:rRNA from 1 species